rnacentral:rRNA from 1 species
AUGAAAUUAAAAUUAUUAAAUAUAAUUUUAUCAAUAAUAAAUAAACUUAAUAAUAAUAAUAAUAUUAUUAUUAAUAAUCUAUUAGAUUCAUUAAUAAAUAAGAAAUUAUUAUUAAAGAAUAUAUUAUUAGAUAUAAAUAAUAAAAAAAUAAAUAAUAUAAAAAGAAUAUUAAAUAAUAAUAAUAUAAAUAUUAAUAAUAAAUUACAACAUUUAAAUAAUAUAAAUAAUUGAAAUCUACAAAUUUAUAAUUAUAAUAAAAAUAUAGAAAUUAUAAAUACUAUAAAUGAUAAAUUAAUUAAUAAAUUAUUAUAUAAAAUAAUAACUUUAAAAUUAAAUAAUAUAAAUAUUAAUAAAAUUAUUAUAAGUAAACUUAUUAAUCAACAUAGUUUAAAUAAAUUAAAUAUUAAAUUUUAUUAUUAUAAUAAUGAUAUUAAUAAUAAUAAUAAUAAUAAUAAUAAUAAUAAUAAUUAUUAUAUAAAUAUAAUAAAUAAAUUAAUAAAUAUUAUAAAUAAUAAUAUAAAUAAUAAUUUAUGUAAUAUUUUAAGUUAUUAUUAUAAUAAAAAAGUAACUAUUGAACCUAUUAAAUUAUCAUAUAUUUAUUUAAAUAGUGAUAUUUUUAGUAAAUAUAUUAGUUUAAAUGAUAUAGAUAAAUAUAAUAAUGGUAUCUUAACUAAUUAUCAACGUAUAUUAAAUAAUAUUAUGCCUAAAUUAAAUGAUCAUAAUAUUUCUAUAAAUUAUAUUAAUAAUAUUAAUAAUAUUAAUAAUAAUAAAUAUAAUAAUAUAAUUAAUUUAUUAAAUAAUAAUAAUAAUAUUAAUAAUUAUAAUAAUUAUAAUAAUUAUAAUAAUAAUAAUAAUAAUAAUAAUUAUAUUGGUAAUAUUAAUAAUAUUUAUAAUAAUAUAACUAUUGAUAAUAUUCCUAUAGAUAUUUUAAUAUAUAAAUAUUUAGUUGGUUGAUCUAUUAAAUUUAAAGGUAGAUUAAGUAAUAAUAAUGGUAGAACUAGUACACUUAAUUUAUUAAAUGGUACUUUUAAUAAUAAAAAAUAUUUAUGAAGUAAUAUUAAUAAUAAUUAUAAAUUAAAUUAUAUCCCUUCUAAUCAUAAUUUAUAUAAUAAUUCUAAUAUUAAUAAAAAUGGUAAAUAUAAUAUUAAAGUUAAAUUAAACUUUAUUUAA